AGUGAACGCUGGCGGUGCGCCUAAAACAUGCAAGUCGAGCGAAUCUUUGGGAGCUUGCUCCUGAAGGUUAGCGGCGGACGGGUGAGUAACACGUGGGCAACCUGCCUGUAAGACUGGGAUAACUUCGGGAAACCGGAGCUAAUACCGGAUAAUCCUUUUCAUAUCAUGAGGAAAAGCUGAAAGACGGUUUAGGCUGUCACUUACAGUUGGGCCCGCGGCGCAUUAGCUAGUUGGUGAGGGGACGGCUCACCAAGGCGACGAGGCGUAGCCGACCUGAGAGGGUGAGCGGCCACACUGGGACUGAGACACGGCCCAGACUCCUACGGGAGGCAGCAGUAGGGAAUCUUCCGCAAUGGACGAAAGUCUGACGGAGCAACGCCGCGUGAGCGAUGAAGGCCUUCGGGUCGUAAAGCUCUGUUGUUAGGGAAGAACAAGUAUCGGAGUAACUGCCGGUACCUUGACGGUACCUAACCAGAAAGCCACGGCUAACUACGUGCCAGCCGCCGCCGUAA
rnacentral:rRNA from 1 species